GAUUCGUUUGACUAAAUCCAGCGUAACACAAUCAUUGAGUCCAAGAAUAGGUUUUGUAUUGCUAUUAAUGAUACAAAAGGGUACAUCUGCAAUUGAACCUUUUGAAGUUUUGCAUUUUAAGGUGGCCAUUCCAAUAGGUUUGAAGGUAAUUAGUCUCAACUGUAUCAUAAUUAUCCUGCAGUAUUUCUGAUACUUGUCUAUUUUUUGGUUUAUCAUGAGGUUUCUUUCUACACAUAUAUAUAUUGUAUAUUUUAUUCAAUAAAUCAUUU